UACGUAGGGGGCAAGCGUUGUCCGGAUUUAUUGGGCGUAAAGAGCGUGUAGGCGGCCAGGUAGGUCUGCUGUGAAAACUCGAGGCUUAACCUCGAGCUGUCGGCGGAAACCAUCUGGCUAGAGUCCGGAAGAGGAGAAUGGAAUUCCCGGUGUAGUGGUGAAAUGCGUAGAUAUCGGGAGGAACACCAGUGGCGAAGGCGGCUUUCUGGCCUGUUCUUGACGCUGAGGCGCGAAAGCUAGGGGAGCGAACGGG
rnacentral:rRNA from 1 species